rnacentral:rRNA from 1 species
UGUAGGUGUGUGUUCCAGGUAAAUCCGGUUCACUUUAACACUGAGGCGUGACGACGAGGCACUACGGUGCUGAAGCAACAAAUGCCCUGCUUCCAGGAAAAGCCUCUAAGCAUCAGGUAACAUCAAAUCGUACCCCAAACCGACACAGGUGGUCAGGUAGAGAAUACCAAGGCGCUUGAGAGAACUCGGGUGAAGGAACUAGGCAAAAUGGUGCCGUAACUUCGGGAGAAGGCACGCUGACACGUAGGUGAAGUGAUUUACUCAUGGAGCUGAAGUCAGUCGAAGAUACCAGCUGGCUGCAACUGUUUAUUAAAAACACAGCACUGUGCAAACACGAAAGUGGACGUAUACGGUGUGACGCCUGCCCGGUGCCGGAAGGUUAAUUGAUGGGGUCAGCGCAAGCGAAGCUCCUGAUCGAAGCCCCGGUAAACGGCGGCCGUAACUAUAACGGUCCUAAGGUAGCGAAAUUCCUUGUCGGGUAAGUUCCGACCUGCACGAAUGGCGUAAUGAUGGCCAGGCUGUCUCCACCCGAGACUCAGUGAAAUUGAACUCGCUGUGAAGAUGCAGUGUACCCGCGGCAAGACGGAAAGACCCCGUGAACCUUUACUAUAGCUUGACACUGAACAUUGAGCCUUGAUGUGUAGGAUAGGUGGGAGGCUUUGAAGUGUGGACGCCAGUCUGCAUGGAGCCGACCUUGAAAUACCACCCUUUAAUGUUUGAUGUUCUAACGUGGACCCGUUACCCGGGUUGCGGACAGUGUCUGGUGGGUAGUUUGACUGGGGCGGUCUCCUCCUAAAGAGUAACGGAGGAGCACGAAGGUUGGCUAAUCCUGGUCGGACAUCAGGAGGUUAGUGCAAUGGCAUAAGCCAGCUUGACUGCGAGCGUGACGGCGCGAGCAGGUGCGAAAGCAGGUCAUAGUGAUCCGGUGGUUCUGAAUGGAAGGGCCAUCGCUCAACGGAUAAAAGGUACUCCGGGGAUAACAGGCUGAUACCGCCCAAGAGUUCAUAUCGACGGCGGUGUUUGGCACCUCGAUGUCGGCUCAUCACAUCCUGGGGCUGAAGUAGGUCCCAAGGGUAUGGCUGUUCGCCAUUUAAAGUGGUACGCGAGCUGGGUUUAGAACGUCGUGAGACAGUUCGGUCCCUAUCUGCCGUGGGCGCUGGAGAACUGAGGGGGGCUGCUCCUAGUACGAGAGGACCGGAGUGGACGCAUCACUGGUGUUCGGGUUGUCAUGCCAAUGGCACUGCCCGGUAGCUAAAUGCGGAAGAGAUAAGUGCUGAAAGCAUCUAAGCACGAAACUUGCCCCGAGAUGAGUUCUCCCUGAGACUUAGAGUCUCCUGAAGGAACGUUGAAGACGACGACGUUGAUAGGCCGGGUGUGUAAGCGCAGCGAUGCGUUGAGCUAACCGGUACUAAUGAACCGUGAGGCUUAACCUUACAACGCCGAAG